AGAUGUGGAACGGAUAUGGGUGGUGUUACAGGCCGCAUGUUUGCCUGCCUUCCAAAUUCAUAUGCAGAAAUCCUAAUUCUCAAGGUGAUGCUAUUUAGGAAGUCAUAACUCAUGUGAGUGGAGCCAUGUGGGAUUAAGAAGUGAUAGGAGAGCUUGCUGUCUGUCUCUGCUCUCCACUGUGUGAGGAUACAACAGGAAGACAGCCAUCUGGUGAGGAAGAGAGGGCCCUCGCCAGAUACCGGACCUGCUGACACCUUGAUCUUGGACUUCCCAUCUUCCAGGAAGGCCUGACCUCAGUUGUUCCAGGGUAAAGAAUUUGGGCAGUGCCCACACCCACGCUGUUGGAUAACAUUUCUUCACCAUACCAGUGAGGGUGAAUGUGUACACGCCCAGCUUCCUGCCUGUUACUCUCCACAGUAUGCGAAGAAUAUCCCUGACUUCUAGCCCUGUGCGCCUUCUUUUGUUUCUGCUGUUGCUACUAAUAGCCUUGGAGAUCAUGGUUGGUGGUCACUCUCUUUGCUUCAACUUCACUAUAAAAUCAUUGUCCAGACCUGGACAGCCCUGGUGUGAAGCGCAGGUCUUCUUGAAUAAAAAUCUUUUCCUUCAGUACAACAGUGACAACAACAUGGUCAAACCUCUGGGCCUCCUGGGGAAGAAGGUAUAUGCCACCAGCACUUGGGGAGAAUUGACCCAAACGCUGGGAGAAGUGGGGCGAGACCUCAGGAUGCUCCUUUGUGACAUCAAACCCCAGAUAAAGACCAGUGAUCCUUCCACUCUGCAAGUCGAGAUGUUUUGUCAACGUGAAGCAGAACGGUGCACUGGUGCAUCCUGGCAGUUCGCCACCAAUGGAGAGAAAUCCCUCCUCUUUGACGCAAUGAACAUGACCUGGACAGUAAUUAAUCAUGAAGCCAGUAAGAUCAAGGAGACAUGGAAGAAAGACAGAGGGCUGGAAAAGUAUUUCAGGAAGCUCUCAAAGGGAGACUGCGAUCACUGGCUCAGGGAAUUCUUAGGGCACUGGGAGGCAAUGCCAGAACCGACAGUGUCACCAGUAAAUGCUUCAGAUAUCCACUGGUCUUCUUCUAGUCUACCAGAUAGAUGGAUCAUCCUGGGGGCAUUCAUCCUGUUAGUUUUAAUGGGAAUUGUUCUCAUCUGUGUCUGGUGGCAAAAUGGAAACCCUCCGACUUCCAGAUAAUAUCGAGGAAGUAAAACUCACAUCACCACAUCCAGAUAACGAGACACCAGACUCCUCUCCUUACUCCUCCAUAAUUCCUGUUUUCCUAACCAACCAUCUGCUUCCCGUUGACCAAUUGUUCUUCCUUACCCCUCCUUAAUUCCUGUUUUCCUGUGGGUAGCUACACUCCUUCCCCACUAUAUACACCCCAAUUUAAGUUGGUCGAAGAUCUGAGACUUAUCUCCACUUAUCUUUAUUUGGCAGCACCAAAGAAAGCCUUCUUCCCCCAAAAAUACUUGAUCCAGUGAUUGGCUUUCUGUGCUGCAAGCAACAGGACCUAAACUGAACCCCUGGUGUUUCAGUAACAAAAUAUUGCAUUCCCUACCUGUGAAUUGGGGGUAAUACUAGCACAUGCUGCGUAAUUGUUGUUUUAAGUAAAUAAGUGACUGUGCAGAACUCAGAACGGUUCCUGGUAGUCGUAGCACAGUACUUUUUAUAAGCGUUUCUUAAAUUUAAAAUGAAAAUUAAUGAACAUGUUCAAGCAGACAUGGGGCAUUGCCUGAGUCAACGCAGAAGACAACUUCUCAGGAUUUUCCCCAGUUACUACCACGUCCUUCCUCUAAGAACGGCCUCUCUUUCCAUCCUCAAUGAGGAGAGGGAAGGCCAUGUUUGUAGCCCUGUUUGUGCCUCAUGGUCUCUGCACACUAACCUCAGUUUAGGGUGGACACAGGACCAAGCUAGACUCAUCAGAGUCUCUCUCUUGGUACUGAUGGUCACUGUUCUGAGUUUCUGUUCAUUGCUGCAGGUGAGGUGAGAUAGACUCAGGCUCUGUGCAUGGAGGGCAGAAAACUCCAGACUCUGAGAGAAGCAUGAAUCAGAUGUGCAGAGAGAAGUGGAGAUCUCAGACUACUUGGUCCCAGAAGAGAGAAGCAGCAACUGGGAGACCAGCUGCUUGACUGCUGAGGGUUCUGCCAUGUCUGGUCCAGGCCCUCCCAAGGCCUGGCUGCAUUUCCUCCCUGCCUAGAUUUAACUAGGAUGAACCUAGAUCACUGAGCUGCAAGGCAAGAACUCCAUGAGAGGAAUUCCAGGUAGAAGGCCAAGCAAAAAUUUCCGGACAGGCUAAAAAGCAAGAAAAUGCGAUCCACAAUCAGGAGAAAAAUGAAUCAACAGAAACUGAUUCAGAAACAAACAAGAUGCAGAUGCUGCUCACAGAAGUCUAGAACGCCAAGACAGGGUCUUGUUCUGUCCCCCAGGCUGGAGUACAGUGGUGUGAUCACAGCUCAUUGCAGUCUCGAACUCCUGGGUCCAAGCCAUCCUCCCAACUCAGCCUCAGGACUUACAGAAAAGGAUGCGCCUCCACUUAGCAAGGCUGGGCAGGAUGUGGUUCUGCAUCUGCCCACAGACGGGGUGGUUCUAGACGGCCGCGAGAGCACAGAUGACCACGCCAUCGUCCAGUAUGAGUGGGCACUGCUGCAGGGGGACCCGUCAGUGGACAUGAAGGUGCCUCAAUCAGGAACCCUGAAGCUGUCCCACCUACAGGAGGGAACCUACACCUUCCAGCUGACCGUGACGGACACUGCCGGGCAGAGAAGCUCUGACAACGUGUCAGUGACAGUGCUUCGCGCAGCCUACUCCACAGGAGGAUGUUUGCACACUUGCUCACGCUACCACUUCUUCUGUGACGAUGGCUGCUGCAUUGACAUCACGCUCGCCUGCGAUGGAGUGCAGCAGUGUCCUGAUGGGUCUGAUGAAGACUUCUGCCAGAAUCUGGGCCUGGACCGCAAGAUGGUAACCCACACGGCAGCUAGUCCUGCCCUGCCAAGAACCACAGGGCCGAGUGAAGAUGCAGGGGGUGACUCCUUGGUGGAAAAGUCUCAGAAAGCCACUGCCCCAAACAAGCCACCUGCAUUAUCAAACACAGAGAAGAGGAAUCAUUCCGCCUUUUGGGGACCAGAGAGUCAAAUCAUUCCUGUGAUGCCAGAUAGUAGUUCCUCAGGGAAGAACAGAAAAGAGGAAAGUUAUAUAUUUGAGUCAAAGGGUGAUGGAGGAGGAGGGGAACACCCAGCCCCAGAAACAGGUGCAGUGCUACCCCUGGCGCUGGGUUUGGCUAUCACUGCUCUGCUGCUUCUCAUGGUUGCAUGCCGACUACGACUGGUGAAACAGAAACUGAAAAAAGCUCGUCCCAUUACAUCUGAGGAAUCGGACUACCUCAUAAAUGGGAUGUAUCUAUAGUAAUGUAAUUUCAAUACCUUGGGGCAGGGACAUGUUUUGUUUAUAAUUUAUACAUCUAUUAAGUUCUGGAUAUUUACAGCUUCUUUUGUUUUUAAUUGGGCCAGAAGAUUCUGCAAAUCCCAAAUCUUUCUUUAUUAUUUAUUGUAAAAAAAGUUUCCUUAGAAGUCAUAAAAUAUUUUGAAAUUUAGAGAGGAAUUCAUGAUUAAAGAUUCCUAAAAAUAUAAUUCUGAUUUAUGUAAGCUGUCCCUGAAAAUAGAAAUGUGUACUUAGCUGAGAGAAAAUUCAGCAUCUCAGGAGGUGGUAUUAGGAUGACUGUGUUAACCCAUUACCUUUUAGAAGCCAACUGUUGGCCCCUUACCAUGCUGGACUGCUAUAGGCCCAGCUUCCCCUUGUUCUGUGGCCCUUUUCUUCCUCCUUGAAGCUCCCAGUAUUCUUUUUCUUUUCCCCUCUAAACCUGUUUCUGAGAGUGGAUCUCAAGCAAGUUCAUGCCUUCAAUCAGAUGUUACUUAGGGUGGGUAUACCUAAAUUAUAAACCUUAUGUACAAGUCAGUAAGCCUUAGGGAAGGUGAGUGUGGGUCCUUCCUAAUCCCUCUGACGUCAUGUCAUAUAGGUGGCUGCCUCCUUAGACUGACCUUUGGGAGAAAAAAACCCCAGACUUUGAAUUAGUAACAGCUCUAAGAUGGUCAUGCAGUGAGAUAGGAAAUCAAGAUGGAAGCAGAGAAUCUGGCAUGCCAAAAACUAACAGAAACUUAGUUGAAGGCAAAGAGAGCAAGGAGAACGUUUAAUACUUCAUUACAUCAAAUCAACACUGCUCCAUGGUGAGAGCACAGCAACUCAUUUAUAUAUAUAUAUAUAGGCUUUGUUGAUGAAAAACGACAAUUGAAGAGAGGACGUUGAGUGGAUUCCUGGGUACAGCUUUUGUAAAAAUGUCACCAUGGCUUUCAUCCAAUGGAAUGAGUCGAUGUUUUUUAAUGCUAUAAAAUGUUAGAAUGUGCCAUCAGCUAAUGCCAGGCUUACGUAUUUCUAGACCAUAAAGCAGUUUUUCACAAAUUCAUCUUUACAGAAAACCAGCAUCUAGCUUAGCAUCUUUCCCCUUUUAAUUUGUAGGCUUUUAAAGGCAAAUCAUUCCCACCAUCACUUAACGCCGGGAUUAUACACAUUCUAGAAAUGAUUCUGAGAGGAGUGUAUAGUAUGGUGCCUAUCUACACUCACAUGAUAUUCUUAUUCACGUUUUUUUUAACCAUAAGUGGCAAAUAUUUUAAAAUAUUUGAAAAACACUCCAGAAUCUAGUACGCUUUAUUUUUAGACUGAACCUAAAGUAGGUUGUUCUUUUAACAAAGGGUUUAAUUCGGGUGGGGAAUAUAACAUAUCAAAAUACAUGAACAAAUGGAAAGUUACUUCUAGAAAAGCAAAGAAAUUGGGUAUCAUUUUUGUUUCUUGGGAAGCUAAUUUUGUUGAAUGUUUAGAAUUGAGCAAAGAUGUAAAUUUUUGAAGGGCAGUUUAGAAAAAUUAACUUUGUGAAUGAACUUAAGAUGUCUGUACUCUAUAUGUGAUGCUGUGCAGUUUGUUUUUAUAUGGAAAGAUGUCAACUAUAGCCAUAACCAAUAAAAUAAAAACUGAUGAGGCAUGCAGCUUUCAGCACAUCUUUUAUACAUGAAGAAAUUAAUUUUGUGUUGCUAUGGUGUUGAAAUAUCCAAGAUGUUCUGUAUCUAUGUAAACAUGAUUCCUUUAAUAAAUUGUAUUUUAUUAUUAAGCCUUUUUUUCCUUUUAAUAUAAUCAUAAGUUGCUAUUA
rnacentral:lncRNA from 1 species